GCAAUGGUGGACUGAAGAUGGCUCCCUGAAAAGUGGAGUUGACGACCAUGGUGAAGAACAAAGAGCUGGUGAAUAGACCGGCUCUUCAAACCAAUCCAGACAGAGAGGAUGGGAAAUUGCCCACAAUUGCUCCAGACAGUUGCUCCUUGCGAGGAAACCACAAGACAGCAGUCUCUGGUGGGUUUUGAGCAUUGGGAGAUGAGGGAAUAGCCAUCUUCCUCAAACCAUGGUUGGCACGUUUAAAAGGACGCUAAAUUUGCAUACUUCCUCUUCUAAUUCGGAAAAUUGCUUAUUAACUACUUUUCAGCUAUUAGAUACCUUUGGAGUGACAAGUCUGAAAAUACCAGAACCCACAGAGUUUCCUAAGAUGCUAAUCAGAUGAUCCACAAUGAAAAGAUCAAUGAUAGCAGAUAUGCUUGCCUGGAAGACAGCUACCUACCACUACUGAAUUCUCCUGCACUGUAACAGCUGAAAAGAUUAGUAUGCUGAAGAGAAAUGGUAAGGCUUCAACUUUCAUCAACUACAGCCAGUAUGACCAAGAUAUAAUCUAGAACAAGGGGCUGUCCCAUCAGCCACAUGUGGCCCACAGCAUUUCUUUUGGGCCUGUGAGCAGAUUUGAAGUAUUUUUGGAAGGCUUAGGAACUGCAAAGCAUCUAUUUCGCCCAUCAAAAUCCCCCCUGUAAGCAGAAAAUGCUGACACCAUCUACACUGGUGAUCUCCUACAGCCAUAGAUCCCACGGCACCUGGGAUUCCAAUGAAAUUAAACUGCAUUCCCCAGCCAUAAGAAAUUCGCCACUACUAGUCUAAAGCAUCUUGACGUAUGAGUUGGAAAAGGGAAGGUCUGUCCUACACUGUUUGCUAGAAACUCCGACAAUCUACUGAGACACUGAAUCUGCUGGAAACAUAAUCAUCUUUGAGGAAAACAGACGGCAUAAAAUUGUUGAAAACCCAUUGUUUUAGCCAUCACAAUCUGCAACCACCAUGUCAGAUUAUAACAACGAACCUUGCUCAAUGUUGUAGCAGUGAUCUAACUAGACAGAAAUUUGGAUAGACUCUCCCUGCCACAAGAAAAAAACAAAGGGAAGUAUGAAUGGAUUUCUGUUUUCUUACCACUGUAAGAAGCCCAGUGCAUUGGUGAGUAGCCACUAUAGUCCACUACGGAGUCCAGAGGGUCAGUAGAGAGCGCUGCCUGCAGCAAGGUCCUCAGGAUUUCAGAAUGCCCACACACCGAGGCAAAAUGGAUCGGGGUCCGGCCCUUGAAAUCCCGACACAAUACAAAGGCAUCAUGGUCCAGCAGUGCUGCAAGGCAGUCUUCACAGCCAGUAACAGCCUACAAAAAUUAACAGCAAGCAAUAAGAAGUGUCCACCUCAAGUGGAAAUAAGACUUACAAAACAGGCACUUAAAAUAUUCUCUUUAUUCACUAACAAUCUGAGUGACACGUAAUAAUAAUAAUAAAUCUUGGAUUAUAACCAA